UGGGAUUAAAGAGUGUAAUAACUGCUGCUU
rnacentral:piRNA from 1 species